GACUUGUUGUUGCGGAGUGUCUUCACGAUGUGGAACACAUCAAUGAUGUUUUGCUGCUGGAUCAUCUCACACACGCUGCAGAUGGCACAGAAGGUCCCGCUGCGGCCUCCCCCAUUCCUAAACACGGAGGGAAGAGGUUCAAACUGCUGGUCACCUUGGUGAGGGAAGACACGGAUAAAAAGGAAAUAAUAGAGGAGGAUCUAGUCAGUGGAACCCACUUUGUCUUGAGCUUUCUUGUGACUCGGGACACAGCGUGCCUCCUGCCGGAGAGUGGAGGGCUCCCUUCCCUGUUGGGAGCCAUCUCCCCAUUCCCCAUAUUUGUGGAGAGGCCUCCAGAUAUUUUAAUAAUAUGUCAUUAUAAUUGUUCAGAGCAACACACUGGCAACCCCAGUCCAUUAAAGGAUUGUAACAUCUUGAA